GCAAGUCGAACGGGUGCUAAUUGCCCGCAAGGGUGAUUAGCGCUAGUGGCGGACGGGUGAGUAACACGUGGGCAACCUGCCUGAGAGUGCGGAAUAACCCUGCGAAAGCAGAGCUAAUACUGCAUGUGGUUGUCGGAUGGCAUCAUCUGACAACUAAAGUCGCAAGACGCUCUCAGAUGGGCCCGCGGCCUAUUAGCUAGUUGGUGAGGUAACGGCCCACCAAGGCGAUGAUGGGUAGCUGGUCUGAGAGGACGGACAGCCACACUGGGACUGAGACACGGCCCAGACUCCUACGGGAGGCAGCAGUGAGGAAUUUUCCGCAAUGGGCGAAAGCCUGACGGAGCAACGCCGCGUGAGGGAUGAAGUCUCUAGGGAUGUAAAACUCUGUUGGGUGGGACGAAGGUCUGACGGUACCACCUGAGGAAGCCCCGGCUAACUACGUGCCAGCAGCCGCGGUAAUACGUAGGGGGCGAGCGUUAUCCGGAUUUACUGGGUGUAAAGAGCGCGUAGGCGGUUCCGUAAGUUGGUUGUGAAAGU
rnacentral:rRNA from 1 species